UACGUAGGGGGCUAGCGUUGUCCGGAAUCAUUGGGCGUAAAGCGCGUGUAGGCGGUCCGGUAAGUCCGCUGUGAAAGUCGAGGGCUCAACCCUCGAAUGCCGGUGGAUACUGGCGGGCUAGAGUGCGGAAGAGGCGAGUGGAAUUCCUGGUGUAGCGGUGAAAUGCGCAGAUAUCAGGAGGAACACCUAUUGCGAAGGCAGCUCGCUGGGACGUAACUGACGCUGAGACGCGAAAGCGUGGGGAGCAAACAGG
rnacentral:rRNA from 1 species